rnacentral:rRNA from 1 species
GACGAACGCUGGCGGCGUGCUUAACACAUGCAAGUCGAACGGGCUGGCUCUGGUUUUUUGCUGGGGUUGGUUAGUGGCGAACGGGUGAGUAACACGUGAGUAACCUGCCCUCUUCUCCUGGAUAACUGCUUGAAAGGGCGGCUAAUACGGGGUGGUCUGGCCUGCCUGCAUGGGUGGGUUGGUAUAGGUUCAACUUUGGUUGUUCUGGUGGGGGAUGGGCUCGCGGCUUAUCAGCUUGUUGGUGGGGUGAUGGCUUACCAAGGCUUUGACGGGUAGCCGGCCUGAGAGGGUGGACGGUCACACUGGGACUGAGAUACGGCCCAGACUCCUGCGGGAGGCAGCAGUGGGGAAUAUUGCACAAUGGGCGGAAGCCUGAUGCAGCGACGUCGCGUGAGGGAUGGAGGCCUUCGGGUUGUGAACCUCUUUUUCCGGUGGUGAAGGCCUGCCUCGUUUGUGGGUGGGUUGACGGUAGCCGGGUUAGGAAGCGCCGGCUAACUACGUG